rnacentral:rRNA from 1 species
UCUGGUCCUUUUGUGCCCGCAGCCGCGGUAAUACGUAGGUGGCAAGCGUUGUCCGGAUUUCCUGGGUGUAAAGGGCGUGCAGCCGGGCCGGCAAGUCAGAUGUGAAAUCUGGAGGCUUAACCUCCAAACUGCAUUUGAAACUGUAGGUCUUGAGUACCGGAGAGGUUAUCGGAAUUCCUUGUGUAGCGGUGAAAUGCGUAGAUAUAAGGAAGAACACCAGUGGCGAAGGCGGAUAACUGGACGGCAACUGACGGUGAGGCGCGAAAGCGUGGGGAGCAAACAGG